rfam:Escherichia vulneris NBRC 102420 DNA, contig: EV10242004.
AUAGCCAGAAGAGGCGCGUCGUCCAGGGUAGUGUGCUUGAGGAGCCAGUCCGCAGAGAGCACAGGAGGGGGAACAACGCCGAGGUGGUAGAGCGUCUGGCCGCGCUUGCCAUCGGCUACAGGGGCUGAAUCCCCUGGGCUGUCACCAGAGACGUUCGCAGUCGUGCGUCUCGCAAGGUGGAGCGCUUCUGGGUGU